ensembl:lncRNA
AUUUGAAAGGGGUUUGUUAUGGAUUUAUUUUUAUUUUCUUUUAUUAUUAUGUUUUUAUUUGAGUUUAUUUUAUCCCUUUCUCUGCUUGAGCUGGUUGUUCCGUCAAUGAAGAAAGCAAAAUGAAUGUUUUGGAGGUGGAGGAAGAUGGAGGCAACAGAAACGGAAGGAAAAAAAAAAAAGGAAAAGAUCCCACACUAUCCUUGCAGAACUGUAGUUACUGUUCUUUCACCUCCUGCCCUAUUCACAUUCACCCUGCUGAGCUACCUUCCUUCCUGCCAGCUGUCUGCUUGGAACAACCUGUCAACCAGCAUCUGCUGGCUCCCAGCACAUCCCUGAAGCGAUGGCAGUGCCAACACUUUGGUUCCUCAAACACAGAGCUAUUCCUCCUGAAGAACCCCAAGCUGUUGACAGAGAUGGGAAGGAGUCUUCAUCCUCUGUGUCCCACCAGGGACUGGCCCCACACUGCUGCUGCUUGGCUGUUCCGUGAUGGAAACCCACGGCCAUCAUGGGAACCAUGCCUGCAGUGCUGGAGGAAAGGCUCCAAAAGGAAGAA